rnacentral:rRNA from 1 species
AAUACCGCAUACGUCCUACGGGAGAAAGCAGGGGACCUUCGGGCCUUGCGCUAUCAGAUGAGCCUAGGUCGGAUUAGCUAGUUGGUGAGGUAAUGGCUCACCAAGGCUACGAUCCGUAACUGGUCUGAGAGGAUGAUCAGUCACACUGGAACUGAGACACGGUCCAGACUCCUACGGGAGGCAGCAGUGGGGAAUAUUGGACAAUGGGCGAAAGCCUGAUCCAUCAAGGGCGCGUGUGUGAAGAAGGUCUUCGGA